UACGUAGGUGGCGAGCGUUAUCCGGAAUUAUUGGGCGUAAAGGGUGCGCAGGCGGCCUGUUAAGUUUAAGGUGAAAGCGUGGGGCUUAACCCCAUACAGCCUUAGAUACUGGCAGGCUAGAGUACUGGAGAGGAAAGUGGAAUUCCAUGUGUAGCGGUAAAAUGCGUAGAUAUAUGGAGGAACACCAGUGGCGAAGGCGGCUUUCUAGCCAGUAACUGACGCUGAGGCACGAAAGCGUGGGGAGCAAAUAGG
rnacentral:rRNA from 1 species